CCGCUGAACUUAAGCAUAUCAAUAAGCGGAGGAAAAGAAACUAACAAGGAUUCCCCUAGUAACUGCGAGUGAAGCGGGAAAAGCUCAAAUUUAAAAUCUGGCGGUUCCGCCGUCCGAGUUGUAAUUUAGAGAAGUGCUAUCCGCGCUGGACCGUGUACAAGUCUCCUGGAAUGGAGCGUCAUAGAGGGUGAGAAUCCCGUCUUUGACACGGACUACCAGGGCAUUGUGAUACGCUCUCAAAGAGUCGAGUUGUUUGGGAUUGCAGCUCAAAAUGGGUGGUAAAUUCCAUCUAAAGCUAAAUAUUGGGGAGAGACCGAUAGCGAACAAGUACCGUGAGGGAAAGAUGAAAAGAACUUUGGAAAGAGAGUUAAACAGUACGUGAAAUUGCUGAAAGGGAAACGCUUGAAGUCAGUCGCGUCGUUCAGGAUUCAGCUUUAGCUUCUGCUAGGUGUAUUUCCUGUUUGACGGGUCGGCAUCAGUUUUGGCCGGUGGAUAAAGGCUCAGAGAAUGUGGCAUCCUCGGAUGUGUUAUAGCUCUGGGUCGCAUACAUCGGCUGGGACUGAGGAACUCAGCACGCCGCAAGGCCAGGUUUCGACCAUGUUCGUGCUUAGGAUGCUGGCAUAAUGGCUUUAAUCGACCCGUCUUGAAACACGG
rnacentral:rRNA from 1 species